rnacentral:lncRNA from 1 species
AAUUAUUGACCUUUAUUAUCCAUAAAAACAUCCAGUACUACUAAAUUUCGAAAACAUACAAUUCAAAUUUUACAAUACAUUAGUUAAAUCAAUAUUUUAAAGUCAAGCCAAUAGCCAACAAUGGCCAAUUCAAAACCAAAGUAAUGUACUCAGCGUUCAGCAAUAUCCAGCACCAAAGCCAUGCAAAAAUGUAGUCCUUUUCCAGUAGCAGCAAAGCCAAGUAAAACGUAUCCCAUUCCAUCAAUUGAAAAUAUUAAGUGAAAAAUAAGCAUUUACACAUGGAAAUAAUAAGAACAAUGUCUUCAAAAAAGAAAAAGAUACAAGUAAAUAAUAAAAUAUGAAAAUAUUUAGUGAAAAAUAAGGCAAGAUCCCUUUUCUCCCUUCUCUGAAGUAAGGCUUUAAAAAAAAUUAAAGAAAUUAUGAUUGUUUCCACACUUGGAGCAGGGAGAGACAAACUCUAGUCAUUUACUGUUGCCUCGGCACCAUUUGUAUAUGUCCAAAUUGGUAUGGCCUUCCUCUUACAUAUAUCAUAUUCAAGUAAGAAUAGCUGUAUUCCUAGUUGGAUUUUUUUUAUCAAGUUAAUAGUUCAGUAAGAAAAAUGGUUAGACCCUCAGGGUCAUCAAAAGUUACUGUCUCAUAGUUCAUUUUAAGUGCUCCUAAAACAGAGUGAGAUAAAAUAAAAUAUUGACACAUACAUAUAUCAUGUAUAUAAACAUCUUUUUUUCUUUUCUUUGAACCUUACUAGUUAGUUAUUAACUAAAAGCACCCAUAAAAAGUUUCUUUAAACCAAUACAUUAGUGCUACUUAAAAAAGGUGGGAUUAGAACCACAAUCUCUUGCACAGCCCCUUUAUGUCUUACCAUUUGAAUCGACUGGUAAUAAGAAAAUCUCUUUUACAGCUUUAUUAUCAACUACAGCUUGUAACUAUCUCACAUAUGUGGGUUAAGUAAGUCUCACAAAGAGAUACUAGUCCAAAUUCAUUACUUCCAAUCAAGAAAAAGCAUGCAGUUUCAAACAGGAUAUGCAUCCUCAGGACCCAUAAGUCAAUUUGUGCUUCAUUAUUAUCAAUUUCCUACCUGGAUAAUUUUUUUUUUUUUUUUGGUAUCUCUUAAGUAUCCAAAGUCAUACCCUAAGCAGCCAGAUACACUCGGAUAGUACUGAUCUAAUACAAGAUAUUAGAUGUUAAAUUCAGGAGUAAAAGAAUGUAGAUAGUACCUGCUUUGAAGAAAAUGAAAGUCUCAUUCGAAGGUAAGGGUCCUGGUAAACAACAAGAUCAACUUUUUGAUUCAGCACAACAUUUUUAUAUUUCCAAUCAAGGGAGCUUGAUAAAUACUAGAUGAUGUAAAGACCAAAAUCAGUUUUAAAAGAUUUGUCAUCCAAGAAGGUACGGCACGCAGGAAAAAUGGCCAGCGAGUGUGUGAUCAUGUCUCUUCCCCUGUUGAGGAUAUUAUUAUUAUUAUUAUUACUAUUAUUAUUACACACACACAAUAAAGGUACUGAUCAUACAUACAUGCAUUAAUAUUUUUUAUCUUAAUUAUCAACACAAAUUAAAGAGAAAUGAUCAGGCUCUCCUCAAUCUCAAGCAUGCACUAAUAGCAUUACAAAUAAUUAAGCUUCUCUCUAAUUAAGUUGCUUAACUAGAUAAAAUGAAUGGGUUAUUUUUAGAGACCUCCCCUGAGGUUUAGUGUAUUAACACCUAGAUAAAAUGUAUUGAUAUAAUUACAGAAACCUCCCAUGCCGUUAGUAUAAAAAUACCUAUGGCAUCAGUAUACAAGGGUAAAUUUGUAAAAUCAUAUUUAAAAUUCAAAAUAUGUUUUUACUAGAUCAAUGAUAUUUUGAACGACUUGCCCGCUGUUAACCGAACUUAACUAGUUGGCCAUGACUCCACCGGCAGCCAAUAGUGGUGCUUUGCCACUGCCGGAGUCCCCUCUUCACCCUGGUUACCAACCCCAGUCACGGAAGCCUAUGAAUCAACCGCAUCCACCACCACGCAUUAACCCAAAAAGAUGGCUUUUGUCUCACAACAGCCCCCACACCGGCAGCGAAGUCCUGACCUCAAUAAACAUCUCAACAGUCACAAAACCCACAAUUUUUUCAUCCCACACUUGCAGCCACAUUCAAACUCAUGAGAUCUCGCUGUCGCCAUCUUGUCAAAGUCCGUUAGUGGUGCUUCACUGCAAACGGAACCUUUUUAAGCACAAUACACCACCAAUAGGCAUUUUGUUCAACUGAGUUUUCAAACAAUUUGUUGAUUCUGACGCAAUUAAUUGCUUUGUCGAACUGGGUUUUCAAACAAUUUGUUAGAGUCCAAAUCUAGCUACGACUGCAAGACCGUGAAAUCUCCUGAAAGCAAGAACAAUUGACGCUUUGCAUCUCUUUGUCUUUUAAAUAGGCACCAGCUUUCGGAUCCUUUGCAGCCAUCUAGAGGACACGGGUUGGUUUCGAAAGCAUAGAGCUGGGUAGCAGAGAAAGAAAGGAAGGGAACAAGGUAGAAAGAAAGACAGGAUGGCGUUGAAAGUGUAUAAGUCAAGCCAAAGGACGGCGACAAGGAAGAUGGCAGGCAGCAAAGGAGUGGUUGAAGACCCGGUUAAUCGAUGGAAGCAGCAGCCGGCCAAACCUAUUACCCAUAAAUUCUCAAAGCUACAUUUAAUAAUUUAUUAUUUUGGUGAGAAGGGUAUUUUAGUAAUUUUGACAGUCUAUUAACAGUAAACUUAACGACUAAUUAACGGCAGGGGAGGUUUCUGUAAUUAUAUCAAUACAUUCUAUCUAGGUGUUAAUACACUAAACCUCAGGGGAGGUCCUUAAAAAUAACCCUAAAAUGAAUACCAAACCCUUAGUCAUUCUAAACGAAUCCUGGAAAUUUGCGUUGAAUCAUCGCUUUCCAACAUUGCCUGUCAAAACCAACAAAAGUAACUAUGAAUUUACACAAUAAAAGUAUCGACCAACUACAAACACCAUUAAAAUAAAAUCAAAUUCCCCCAAUAUAUAUGCAUUACCAAUCUAAACAAAAAUUAAUAUUUUUUAAUUUAAAAAUCAAAAAUCAAAACUAAAACCUUCACUAACCAUGAAUGAACAGCAACAGCGAGCGACUCACCUGGUCGACUGAGAGGAUUGGAAUUUGAACAAUAGAAAGUGUUUUCUUUGGAGAGCGAGCGGCACAACUUCACUAGCCUUGAGCGAAACAGCAAAUGAUUGCAACGAUUAGGGUUUCUUUAACGCAACGGCGAGUGGAGGUUUUGAUUUCA